rnacentral:rRNA from 1 species
UACGGAGGGGGCGAGCGUUGUCCGAAGUUACUGGGCGUAAAGCGCGCGUAGGCGGGUUGGUAAGUCCGCUGUGAAAGCCCGGAGCUUAACUCCGGAGGGUCGGUGGAUACUGCCAGUCUUGAAGGUGCUAGGGGGAGAUGGAAUUACCGGUGUAGCGGUGAAAUGCGUAGAUAUCGGGAAGAACAUCGGUGGCGAAGGCGCUCUACUGAACCACAACUGACACUCAGGGACGAAAGCUAGGGGAGCGAAUGGG